rnacentral:lncRNA from 7 species
UUUUUUUAAAAAAAAACUUGUCUUCGUUUCUCAUUAAGACCAAGAUAAAUUUAAUCCAGGACAUGUUACUAGCACCGACGGCGAUUGACGACGACGAGCUAGACGAAGGCGUCGGCGGCUCCUACGUGUCGGAGCUGGCUAGCUAUCUGCCCAGCGGCGGACCAGAAUAAAAAUUAAA